AAUUCGAUUAGAGUUUGAUCCUGGCUCAGGACGAACGCUGGCGGCGUGCCUAACACAUGCAAGUCGAACGGGGUAUUAGCAAUAAUACCUAGUGGCGAACGGGUGAGUAACGCGUGAGCAACCUGACCUUUUGAGGGGGAUAACAACCGGAAACGGUUGCUAAUACCGCAUAAGACCACACUGCCACAUGGCAGAGAGGUCAAAGGAGUAAUCCGCAGAAGGAGGGGCUCGCGUCCCAUUAGAUAGUUGGUGAGGUAACGGCCCACCAAGUCAGCGAUGGGUAGCCGAGCUGAGAGGCUGAUCGGCCACACUGGAACUGAGACACGGUCCAGACUCCUACGGGAGGCAGCAGUGGGGAAUAUUGGGCAAUGGGGGAAACCCUGACCCAGCAACGCCGCGUGAGGGAAGAAGGCUUUCGGGUUGUAAACCUCUGUCGCAGGGGAAGAAACAAAUGACGGUACCCUGUGAGGAAGCCCCGGCUAACUACGUGCCAGCAGCCGCGGUAAUACGUAGGGGGCGAGCGUUGUCCGGAAUUACUGGGCGUAAAGGGUGCGUAGGUGGCAAUUUAAGUCGGAUGUGAAAUCCCCGGGCUUAACCUGGGUGGUGCAUUCAAAACUGGAUAGCUAGAGUGCAGGAGAGGGAAGCGGAAUUCCUAGUGUAGCGGUGAAAUGCGUAGAUAUUAGGAGGAACACCAGUGGCGAAGGCGGCUUUCUGGACUGUAACUGACACUGAGGCACGAAA
rnacentral:rRNA from 1 species